UACGGAGGAUCCAAGCGUUAUCCGGAAUCAUUGGGUUUAAAGGGUCCGUAGGCGGUUUAAUAAGUCAGUGGUGAAAGCCCAUCGCUCAACGGUGGAACGGCCAUUGAUACUGCAAGACUUGAAUUAUUGUGAAGUAACUAGAAUAUGUAGUGUAGCGGUGAGAUGCUUAGAGAUUACAUGGAAUACCAAUUGCGAAGGCAGGUUACUAACAAUAUAUUGACGCUGAUGGACGAAAGCGUGGGUAGCGAACAGG
rnacentral:rRNA from 1 species